rnacentral:rRNA from 1 species
CCUAAUACAUGCAAGUCGAACGGUCUUUCUAUGGAAGCUUGCUUCCACUGAGAAGAUAGUGGCGAACGGGUGAGUAACACGUGGGUAACCUGCCCAUAAGAGGGGGAGUAACAUCCGGAAACGGGUGCUAAUACCGCAUAGUUUUCUUGAUCGCAUGAUCGGGAAAGGAAAGACGGCCUUUGUGCUGUCGCUUAUGGAUGGACCCGCGGCGUAUUAGUUAGUUGGUGAGGUAACGGCUCACCAAGACGAUGAUACGUAGCCGACCUGAGAGGGUGAUCGGCCACAUUGGGACUGAGACACGGCCCAAACUCCUACGGGAGGCAGCAGUAGGGAAUCUUCCGCAAUGGACGAAAGUCUGACGGAGCAACGCCGCGUGAGUGAAAGAAGGUUUUCGGAUCGUAAAACUCUGUUGUCAGAGAAGAACAAGUUGGAGAGUAACUGCUCCAGCCUUGACGGUAUCUGACCAGAAAGCCACGGCUAACUACGUGCCAGCCGCCGC